UACGUAGGGGGCAAGCGUUGUCCGGAAUCAUUGGGCGUAAAGAGCGUGUAGGCGGCUCGGUAAGUCCGCUCUGAAAGCCCGGGGGCUCAACCCCGGGAGGCGGGCGGAUACUGUCGGGCUAGAGUCCGGAAGAGGAGAGUGGAAUUCCCGGUGUAGCGGUGAAAUGCGUAGAUAUCUGGAGGAAUACCGGUGGCGAAGGCGGCAUCCUGGACCAUUACUGACGCUGAGGCGCGAAAGCUAGGGGAGCAAACGGGG
rnacentral:rRNA from 1 species